rnacentral:rRNA from 1 species
UACGUAGGAGGCAAGCGUUGUCCGGAAUUACUGGGCGUAAAGCGCGUGUAGGUGGUGGGACAAGUCUGCUGUGAAAGCGCCUGGCUUAACCGGGCGAGGUCGGCGGAAACUGUCCGACUAGAGGACGGUAGAGGGGGGUGGAAUUCCCGGGUGUAGUGGUGAAAUGCGUAGAGAUCGGGAGGAACACCUGUGGCGAAGGCGGCCCCCUGGGCCGGCCCUGACACUGAGACGCGAAGGCGUGGGGAGCAAACAGG